CCACGCGAGGGGGACAAGCCCCCCCGCCCCACGCCCCGUGAGAGCGCCCCGCGGCCGCCUGCCGCGCCCUACCCCGCCCCGCCUGGCCUGGCCGUUGGUGGGCGGGGACUUAGUCCACGGUGGGGUAGCGACGCGGGAGCCGGCCGAGGCCCAUCGGGGGUCGUCGGCAGCCCCAGUCCGCCUUAGAAACCUCGAAGACCUGUUCGUGGAAUGCCCGUGAUGCUUUGGGCAUCGUACGGGGGUGAACGGGAACGUGUUGGGUUUUUUACCUCCUGCAGCUUACGAUCUAGCAGGGAAGACAGGCAUUAACCACGUAAACGCAAGUAAAGCUGUGAUCGGUGCAGAGAGGGAGAAUACGUGCUCUGAGGUUGUGGAGGCGAACGUCACCUAACCAAAAAGUGGCUACAGGUACACUGUAGGUCAAGGCCAAGAAAAGGAUGCUGAUCUGGUGGGCUCUGUGGAUGACAAGCUGCUUGAGAUCCUUCUGUGGACUGAUGAUACCUCCUGGAGAUGCACUUUUAAAUGUCCAUGUCUUCCCACUGGCAAAUAGGUCAGCAAUACUACACUCACCUUCGGAAACAAGAUGAAAUGACCAUUAAAUGGCCUGCUGUUUAAAUGUUGAAAAGUUUCUUUUAAAUAUCCUACUGCUUAAACUUUAAAACUGU